GGAGGAUGUUCAAUAAAUUAAGGACUUUUUUCCGCAAUUCGACCUUGAGGACAAGGUUGCUUUUGAUGGUGGGAGUAUUGUAACGUGCACAGGAAAUACUGAGGAGAGAGAUAAGGAUGGAAAAGUUGUUAGGCACAUAAGACAUGUGGCUAAUGAUCCAAAGAAUGAGGUCACGAAGAAAAGCAUGAGGCAAUGAAAGGGGAAUAUUUUAUUGAAGGACUUUGUGCAGUGAGAGGAAUGUGUGUGUGGUAUGAACAUUCCUGUACUAUGCUAUUCUCUUCUCUCUGUCUAACUUUGCUGAUACCUUUCUAUCUUCAUAUCAGGUUCUGCAAGCCAUGGAUGACGUGAAGAACUUUUGCUUAGAUACGUUGUUACUGAUUUCAUGAAAUACUG
rnacentral:lncRNA from 1 species